rnacentral:rRNA from 1 species
UACAGAGGAUGCAAGCGUUAUCCGGAAUGAUUGGGCGUAAAGCGUCUGUAGGUGGCUUUUUAAGUCCGCCGUCAAAUCCCAGGGCUCAACUCUGGACAGGCGGUGGAAACUACCAAGCUGGAGUACGGUAGGGGCAGAGGGAAUUUCCGGUGGAGCGGUGAAAUGCGUAGAGAUCCGGAAGAACACCGGUGGCGAAGGCGGUCUGCUGGGCAGUUGCUGACACUGAGGCGCGACAGCGUGGGGAGCAAACAGG